AACGAACGCUGGCGGCAGGCUUAACACAUGCAAGUCGAACGCUCCGCAAGGAGAGUGGCAGACGGGUGAGUAACACGUGGGAACGUACCCUUUACUACGGAACAACUCCGGGAAACUGGAGCUAAUACCGUAUGUGCCUUUUGGGGGAAAGAUUUAUCGGUAAAGGAUCGGCCCGCGUUGGAUUAGCUAGUUGGUGGGGUAAAGGCCUACCAAGGCGACGAUCCAUAGCUGGUCUGAGAGGAUGAUCAGCCACAUUGGGACUGAGACACGGCCCAAACUCCUACGGGGGGCAGCAGUGGGGAAUAUUGGACAAUGGGUGCAAGCCUGAUCCAGCCAUGCCGCGUGUGUGAUGAAGGCCUUAGGGUUGUAAAGCACUUUCACCGGAGAAGAUAAUGACGGUAUCCGGAGAAGAAGCCCCGGCUAACUUCGUGCCAGCCGCCGCGGUAACAC
rnacentral:rRNA from 1 species